GACGUCACAAUAAAGGAAUUUCCCAUGUCAAAGGGGCUGCACUUUAAUAAUUCAGCGGAUGAAGUCCUUGUUGAUCCUAAACACUAACGGCAUUUGGUGGGAUGCCUCUUGUACCUUAAUCUUACCCCGCCCAAUAUCUCUUUUGUGGCACAAUGCUUAAGUCAAUUUCUUCAACAAGCCCGCAAGCACAUUGGGAUGCCUUAUUUGCUUUGCUUCAGUAUUUGAAAGGAACACCAAGGGUCUAUUUUUCCCACCAACACAAGCCUUCAUCUUCGAGCUUAUUGUGACGAAGAUUGGAGCACAUGUACCAUGACAAGAAACUCACUGCAGGAUAUUGUGUGUUUUUCAGGCUCUUCACUAGUUUCCUAGAAGAACAAAAAGUAAUCGACAGUGAGUUGGUCCUUAGCCUAAG
rnacentral:misc_RNA from 1 species